UGGCAGCAGAGCUUGGACUUUUGCUGCAGUUUGGGUCUUCGUCCCAUUUCUUUCAGCUCUGCCUCUGAAUUCCAAUGCUUUUCAACUCUCACAAAAGUCAACUGGGCGCUGAAUUGGAACUACUGGACGGCGGGACGCGCGAUGGGCGCCUGGGGCCGCUGGGCUUGGUGCUCCGACUCGAAAGCCGUCCCUUUCACCGACGGAAUUAAUUGGGCCAACGGACAGCCAGACAACUCGAAUCCAGAAGAACUUUGCGUCCACAUGCAGGUUGAUCGAAAUGGCACCGGAGUCUUUUUAACGGACAGAAACUGCAGUCACAAAUACGUGAUUGCGUGUCAGGUUAUUUAUUUGCAUAUUAUUAUCACAAAUUUUGACUUUCCUUCCUAGAGCGAUGUUGUGCAAAGCAAUUCGUGCACGGAGCCGACAUGCCCGACUCGCUGCCUAAAAAAUGAAACUUUGUUUGUCAGCUCGACGAUACAAGAUUUAUAUAUCCAUGGUUCCUGGAACACUGCGUGUGGAAAAGAAUAUUUAUUUUCAACAAAAAUUACAAACUGGCUGGAUGCUUGGAAUUAUUGCUGCUCACUCGGGAUGAAGCUUGCGACUAUUUCUGAUUUUGGGGAAAUGAACUGCCUAUCCAAAAUGGUCAACAAAUAUCCAGCAGCUGUUUAUUCAAAGCAAAUGGAUCGGGAAUUUUGGACUUCAGGGACCAAUUUAGGCUGUGCUGGGCCCCAUUAUUGGUGUUCGGAUGGGGAAAAAUUGAAUUUGGACGGCUUGCCAUAUUGGAAAGGCGGCCAGUUGCCAGCGGAGGCGGCCGGAAACUGUAUAUUCAUCUAUCCGGCAAACGUCACUGCGAAUGCCACGGUGCUAGGAGCGGAUGCUUGCACGGCGC